rnacentral:tRNA from 1 species
AGUCUUAUAUUCAAAAAUGAUUUAAAAUUGCAAAUUUUAAGGAGUAAAUAAUUAUUACUAAGGCUU